ACGCUGAAGACGGGUUCGCAAAAAAGAAUCUCGAAUGGUCAACAAUAAUAAAUCGCUCAAGGUGAAUAAUUAUCUAUUUUAACAUAACAGCUAAUUUCAACUGUUACAGUAAAAACAAAUAACAAAACAUUGUCAAAUUUGAAACAGAAGUGUACGAGUUGUCCUACGCUUCAGACUUGACAUUCACUAAACAUGCAUGCUGAAAUUGACAUGGUUGAUUUCGUAACACAAUCAUACACAUUCAAGUUUUAAAAUCGACAAUUGUCAUCGUCAUUGGAAUGCAACUGUAAUACACAUUCUGAGGUCACACAGGUUCAAACAAUAUUCAGUCCGGCAGUGGGCGGAGUUAUAAAGCGAUAUCUGUAUAGUAUACAGAUACAGCAUAGCGAUAUCUGUAGGGCUGUAUCUGUAUAGUAGGACACCCAAUUGCAGGAUAAAUAUAUUUAUUGUACAUGUGUCAUGUAUCGUAAUAUUGUAUUUUGUUAUCUGUUAUUCAAAUUUUGAAAUUUAAUCUGUUAACGUAAAAUUAUUCACUGAAUCUAUUGAUAGAGAAAAAAAAGAUAUGAAUAAAUGAGUGAUUGGAGGAUACUACCAUAAUCCAGCAUAGUCGCAAUGUGCUGAUAGUAUUCCUUAUAUCUUAAGAUACAUUAUCGUACAUCAUUUUGCUACUUGGGGGUGGUUUUGAAAAAAACAAAAUUAACUUAAAUGAUGUAUAGUUGUCUUCUAGCUGUUAGUUACAACAAUAUUUAAUUAUAUGAAUUCAAGGCAAUAGUUCCCUUGUAUUCAAGUAAAGAACCAAAUUUCGAUUAUCAUUGAAACAAUUCUUUUUAAAAAUUUAUGCUUACAAACUUAUCGACAUUGGCAAAUGAUAUAUACCGAAAUAAAAUCUUACAGAUAUUUGAAAAGUAUAAAAAUUAAAAUAAUUGGAAUAAAUUAAAUUUACACAUGUCAAACUAUAAUUGUUUGUUGACCUUUAUAUUUACAUAGCCUAUACAUUUAUAUCUGAAUUUAACCUUUUAUUCACAUCAAACGCCUUGUUUGUUUUUAUUAAUACAGAUGUAAAACUACACUAAGAAAUAUAUAGUCAAAAUUUUAAAUCGCGUAAAUAUCUAUAUCUGAUAUUAAUAUUUCAUUCACAUCAAAGGGUGUGUUUGGUGUUGUUUUCCUUUUUCUUUUAUGAUAUUUAUUUUCAUCAUUAUAAACAUUAUAAUUAUAAUUAUGGUAAUAACUAUUAUAAGAAUAAUUAUUAUAAUUAUUAUCAUCAUUAGUAUUAGGUCUUUCCACUUUUCCGUGGAAAGACCUAUUGGAUUUCUUCUGAUUAUUUUUUUUUUUUCUUCCGCCAACUUUUUUUUCCUUCGCAGUUUUUUUGUUUCGCAAGAUGUCGCUUAGACAUAUGGUAUUUGAUAUCGAACAGUUAUUACGCUUUUGUAACUGACACCGCAUAACCAAAAUCUUUUCAAUGUAAGAGUCAUCUCCCCGAACACUGUUUUUCUUGUGAUCGCUUAAUAUUCGCAACCAUAUAAGAAGCCGAAAAAUUUAUUUUACCAAAUUGCUCGUUAUAUCCUCAGGAUGAUUUGAUUUAUUUUGACCGAAGCUAUCCGGAGACUCCAUAUAAGAGUUAUUUCCCCUUUUAUAUUUGAUAUAAGUGAUAUGCAUUUUUAACUGGAAAACCAUAAGUGUUAGAGGCCUAGGAUCUUUUGAUUUGAGGUCCUUGGUCCAAAAAAAUGAAAAUUAGGUCAAGGUCAGAGGUCAAGGUCAUGAUUAAAUUUUUGAUUUUGGCUUGUUAUCUCUUAUUUUCAGAAAUCUUAUAAGAUGUCGACAAAAUAUUUUCAUAUAAUUGUUAGUCGAAACAUGUAGUUACACAUACAUUUUAGUCGAAAGGGUACGUAAACAUUUGCUGCGAGUUUUCCCCCCUUUUAUAUCUAAUAUCAGUCGUAUGGUAAUAUAACUCAUUAACAAUAUAAAGUAAAGACCUAGAGUCUUUUGAUUUGAGGUCCUUGAUUCAUGACCUUGAAAUUGAGCUCAAGGUCAUGUGUUAAUUUAACGUUCUAGAUUUUGACCUUUGCUUUUACCUCAUAUGUAUUCAUGUUAAAGCUAUUAGACUUUUUGCAUUAGGUUGCAAGCAGUAUGACGUUGAAAAGCUAACCGGAAGUGACCUUUUGUAAACCGGAAGUAUCUAAUUUUUGUAAUAAAUUAUUGUAAAAGUUUGUAAAACCAUAUAUUUUUGGAAUCAGCGUCAAGUUAACUAUAAGACAGUACCAGAAGUAACAUAUUUUGAACCGGAAGCAAAAAAUUAUCUCCCUUAUUUAUAUCUUUUUUUUUUUUUUUUUUUUAUUGUAUAGAAACCUUAUAUUUUUGGAAUCAGCGUACAAUAAGUUGUCAUUUGACGAUAUAAUUAACAUUUGAAACCAAAUUUUAAUAUUUUCAUAUAAAAAAAAUCAUUACUUGUGGAAAGACCAUCAAUGGUUCUCUGAACAAUUGGUUUUUAAUUCUUAUUAUGUUUAUUUUAUGAUUAUUAUUAUUAUUAGUAGUAGUAGUAGUAGUAGUAGUAGUAGUAGUAGUAGUAGUAGUAGAAGUAGUAGUAUUAUUAUUAUUGUUAUUAUUAUUAUUAUUAUUAUUAUUAUAAGUAUUAUUAUUAUUAUUAUUAUUAUUAUUAUUAUUAUUAUUAUUAUUAUUAUUAUUAUCAUUAUUAUUUUUUAUUUUUUUGGCUGUCGUGUUGUUCAUUCACGCACAAAUGUUGUGAUAAGUCUAAUUGGGUGGUGUCACAAUCUAGGAGAGCUUUGUUUCGUCAGUAGAAACAUAUCUGUGGUCAUCUGUGACACAUAUAUUCUACAGUAGUAAAUAUUUCACUCUAAAUAGUUUCUACGCAUAGAUAUGUAAGACUCAAUUCUAUGGUGGGUUGGAUAUCUAUGGCAGAUUCCUAAUGUAUGGUAAAUAUGACGUCUUCCAUCCCCAAUAUAUGGUAAAUAUGACGUCUUCCAUCCCAAAUCUAUGGUAAAUAUGACGUUUUCCAUCCCCAAUAUGUGGUAAAUAUGACGUCUUCCAUCCCCAUUCUAUGGCAAAUUUUAUUCUGCUUAUCUAUCGACGAUUUUCUGUAAAUCAAGGACCAAAAAGCACAUAUCUUACAAAUGAUUUAAAGUGUUUUAGGGGCCAGCUGAAUACACCUACGAGUGCGGGAAUUCUCGCUACAUUGAAGACCCAUUGGUGGCCUUCGGCUGUUGUCUGCUCUAUGGUCGGGUUGUUGUCGCUUUGACACAUUCCCCGUUUCCUUUCUCGGUUUUAAAGUUGGCUUAAACAAGAUGAAAUGUCAUUAUCACUGAACUAGUAUAUAUUUGUUUAGGGGCCAGCUGAAGACGCCUCCGGGUGCGGGAAUUUCUCGCUACAUUGAAGACCUGUUGGUGACCUUCUGCUGUUGUUUUUUUCUAUGGUCGGGUUGUUGUCUUUUUGGCAGAUUCCCCAUUUCCAUUCUCAAUUUUAUUAUGUAACAAAAAAGCUGCUUUUAAAUAAAAGCAAGUAUAAAAAAACCGGAUAAGGAGUACGACUAAAAAGCAUAUACAUAACCAUUUGUGAAAUAAACAUUGAACAAGGGUCAACUAAAUCGUGAUGAAAAACAAAAUAUGUUCUUAGUAAGAAAGUGAUAUACAUUAAUACAGACUUUAGGGGGAAAUGAUGUGCCCGCAAGAAUAAGCAUUUACUACUCUGCGCAUGGUACCUGUUUGAUCCUUCAUUUAACUACGUCCCUUAUCAACUCAGAAAGCAAUUUUACUUUUUAUCUUAUAUUAGUUUGAGCGUUAAUAAACCUUUUAUAACUGAUGACGAUCUUAUAAUCUUAUAAUGAACAAUCACUUGCCUCAAACACAUGGCUUUCUUUAAAAAUCCUUAUUUCUCCAACAGUAUAGUUAUUCGACAUACAUAAAGCUGUGAACCAAUGUAAAUUGUUAUUAUAAAUUCAUUCCAUUGAUCUGGAACCAGGGAUCGAAUUUAAGCUUUUUAGUGUACUGGCCAGCCAGACCAGUGGACUUUAGAUCUACUGGUCCGGCUCAAAAUUUACUGGUCCUGCAAAAAUGACAUUCAUUUGAUAACCAUUGAAAGAUAUGACAGAUGUUUAGUUUUUUUUUCCUCAGCUGCUUUCCUCUUCUUUAUUCCAAAAAAAAGCACCCCCAAUACCCUAAAAAUAAUUUAUCAGGUUUAUUUUUUUGUAAACAAACCGAGAUAGAGAUGCAAUCAUUGAUUUUAACGGAAAAUUUCUACUGGUCCGCCGGACCACCAGCUGACAAAAUCUACCGGUCCGACACAAAUUCUACUGGUCUCUGACCACCGGACCAGCGCCAAUUUCGACCCCUGUCUGGAACUCACCAUAGAUAUGAAACCUACAUAUACAGUUUUCAAAAUGUGCAAAAUAUUUGGGUUAUUUUUAGAAAUGGCUUGACUCAUUAGUUAAGUGUGGAGCUCGCAAAACAAUAAACAAGAAAGACAAAAGACAAACAGUGCCAAUCUAAGAAUACUCACAAUUACUGAAAGCUUGUUCAAAGUAAAUAACGACUAAUAGAUAAAUCGUAUUCUCAUAGACUUAUCAAAACUUAUUUAACGGAAUAAGCUUAAGUGUGAAUAUGUCAUAAAUAGCCUAAAAGAAAUAUGACCGUAUGCAACACCGAAAUAAGAUUAAUCAUAUAUGUAUAAAUUACCGACAGAAUGUAGGACCAUAGUGUUUCAUAACUGUAUUUGCAUCAUGUACAUGAUGUACGGACUUCAUUAACAACAAGCCGUAAUAUCAACGAUAUAAAUAGAAGUUAUGAAAUUUACAAAGUCAAUGCAAAACAUGAAAAUUUCAAAAUGAUUUUUUGUUUUUUUUUUAAAUGGAAUGUUUUUGGUAUUUGGUCAAACAUAUAACUAUGUUAACCUCUUCAAUUUCUUAAACAUUUUAAGUGGUAAGCUGUUGUUGAUUCAGAAAUACAUGCCGCCGCUCGCAAAAUUUUAAACUGCAUUAUCUCUAAAACGACAAUAGAUAUCUCAAAUCUGUUAAAUGGUAAAUGAUCUACAGUUAAAGGACAACUAGAAAAAGAAUUGGGACAAUUUGAAAGUUCACCAAGGUCACAAUUAAUCAUCAAAUAUAUGAUGCAAUACCAAACUUGAGAACCGGAAGUCGUAGAGACAUGGGAUUACCACCAUUCAAGUCAGGACCAAUUAACCUUUCAAAUAUCACAUGGUCAAGGUCAUAGUAUAAUGUGAAGGUCAAGGUGAAAUUUCAUCAUGACCUGACAAUGACCUCAAAUUGAAGGGCUGGAAUUACUGAUCAUCUUUGCAGUUUAUAGUAGAUUGAUACAUGUUACCUUUAAAAAGAUAUACACAAAAUACUACUUUUAAGAAUCAUCCCGUUGUAACUUUUGAACAGACGGUCGGACAUUAGAAUGUUUUCGCUUGCCGAAAGUAUGAUGAGAAUGUAUCCUCACACAGUAGAACGUCUCUACUAACUUCCCCCGUCGAUAGAUAACUGUUGAUAUACAAUUUAUCAAAUAAAUGUAAUAAGACCAAUCUUUAAUAAGUUUAGUAAUACAAUAUGAUCAAUAACUAAGGAUAAGAAAAAUGGUCCGAGAUAAAUUCAAAAAAGGGAAGUUUACAACAACUGACAAAAAUUAAACGUUAACCAACGAAUCGAGUUAAAAACAACUGUCGAACUUCUUACUAAAAUACAGACGUUUCCAGGAGAAUAUGGUGAGAAAAACUUGUUUUUUAAACUAGCUUAACCUCCUACUGAUAUGACACUUGUUUAUAGUUCCGUUAUAAAUUAGGUUACAAAUUCAAACAGUCACACUAGGUUAAUGUGACAAUAAUUUGGAUUCAACAGCCAAAACGUUGAUUAAAGAUUGGAAACAGUGUCAACAGAAAAAUAAACCGACCAAACGCAGUACAAUGCCUUGGACCACCAUACUCCAUAGACAUACAAAGACGGCAACAAAAACGUAGGUGUAGUUUUGACAGAGACGUCACAAAACGCCGAAUAAAUAGUUUUUUGAGUUACUAUUGCAUACCGUAUAUAGUGUAAGCUUUCUCGAUAAAGUUCAUAUUAAGUUAAUAUAGAUACAAUGGAAACAACAUUGUGAACACCUUCUGCAUCCAAAUUCCACAUCAGGACUCACAAAACACCGAGUAAUGUCAAAUGUCAUACGAACACAAAAGAAAAUAUGAUAGCACGAAGCUAAUGAAAGGUUAACUAAAUAAAAACAUACAAAACUUCAGCAUCUUAAAUCUAAAACGGAAGACCAUCUUGUAUGAUUUGUGAAUCAGACAUUGAAUACUAGUUUACAAUGUAUUAGUACUUUCAAGUUGAAAAUUUUAAGAAAAAGGACGAAACAUUCCUUGACAAAAUCCUGGCUCCUGAGUUCAAGAUCAUGAAUAUCGAAAGAGUUAAGAAAUGUAUACUUAUACUCUAUACGCGGGUGAAUUUUAUAUAUUAUUGUAAAGGUGAGAACAAUUUAUAAGUUCAAAGUUGAAACCGCCUCGUUUGUGAAAGAUGCAAAUACUGAAAAGACUGUUGUGUUCAAAUUCGAGGCAAUGAUCUAGAAAUAACGCAGAUGUCUUAUCGUUUGUGAUUUCUGUAUGUUUAAUUCGUGUUAUUUGGCAGUAUAAUCGAAUUAAUUUUCAUUUGCCAGGGCCAAAGUAACCAUACUUUGUAAUAUGCACUUAUACUAAGGAGGCCGGAAUAAGGUAACGGUACUUUUAUUUCUUUUAUAACUAUAUCAAACCUCUACAGAAUAUAUAGAAUAUUGACAUUUCCGUUUUCAAACUUGAUAUUAUCAGCAAGAAUAUCAAGCGAGCCUGCUAGGUCGAGCUGAUGAAGUCAGUAUCAAGAAACAAAAUGUCAUUAUGCUUUUAAUCGGCGAUUUGUCUAAACUAUAUGUUUUUUGGUUGAGAAUAUAAAGUAAACAUUCUUUUUUUUUAAUAUACAUGACCUUAGUCUUAGAUAAAUGAUUUUAUUAUUAGUUAUUAGUUUUUUGCUAGUUGUUAGUCUCUAGGUGUAUCUUUGUGUUGUAGGAAUAUAUAAAUAUCCUGUACCGUCCGUUCUGUGAUUUUUUUAUUACUUUUUUUUUUCUGCUUUGUUACGAUCUGAAGAGUUAAUCCCUUUUCAACCUAUUUUUAUAGUUUGUUACUAACAUGUUAAACCCUGACACAAUCUGUACGUGCCUGUCACAAGUCCGGAGCCUGUUGUUUAAUGGUGGUUGUUUGUUGCUAUAUGUCAUAUUCUGUUAUACAUUUGAUAUUAUAAAACCUUUUAAAGUUGGUUAUGCAGUGUGGAUUUUGUUCAUUGCCGAAGACCGUACGUUGACCUAUAGAUGUUAAUGUCUAUUACAUUUUGGUCUUAGUGUAGAGAUGGAAAUAUACCACAUUUUCUUAUUUUUAUUAUAACGCUGUGGUAGUUGUUCGUUUGCAUACAUUUCAUUGGUAAAUUUACUGUGAUAGACAUGAACAUACGACGUUGCCUCGCAUGUAUAAGACGUCAUUGUCGUAUAGUUCGAGUACUAAGUCUUAUUUAUGCUUAAAGAUUAUUAGGCAGUACGUUCAAAGGGAAAGUAUAAAAUAAUCGCAACAUGCAUAUCAAUAUUAUUAGCACACAAUUGGAUAUCAACGUAAAAAAUCUGAUUAGAUAACAGCACAAGCAGGUUAUGAGAAUACAACACGAAGAAAUGCAUACUCUAGAUUCAUCACUGUGUGCUAGCGUUUCAGACCAGACAAUUCAGUAUAAAGUAAAAUUUAAAAUAUAAUUGUCGUUCUAUUAAACUGUUGGAUUUAAAACUUUUUAAAUAUUUGAUUAUGAUAUGAAAUUACUUUUAGUGGGACAAAAAUAUUUAAGGUCGCUAGGGUGUCUUAAUUGAAAUUAAUAGAAUAUUUUGAUAACUUGUCAAAAUAGAGUUGUUAUCAUGCUUUUAUCAAUAGCGAAUGCACUGUAUAUCAAUGUUAAAAUUGCACUAACCGAUUUUCAUGAGACUGAGACAUUUUUUGUAUUCAACAACAAUGUGUUGUAUACAAAGGACUCUUUUCAUUUCUAGGAAAACAGGUACUGAGAAGAUUAAAAUUACUAGACCACUUAAAUAUACAGCAUACAAUAAAUGCCUGAUACGGACAUUUGAAAGUCAGAGCAAUCCCUCUACAGCGUGAUUUAGAAUAGAUAAAUUGAAUAUAUUCGAUGCUUGCUUCAUGUCCAUUGCCGACACCUCAAUUGAAAUACAUUCAAUUGUUUUGCAAAGCAAAUUUAAUUAACAUGAUCCCAAAAUAUAUCUUCAAUUUCUGUGAAUGCAAAAAAUAUACCUAACAUAGAAAUGUAUACAACUUACUCAUAACCCUCAUCACGAGGAAUUCAGCGGAAAAGACAAAGUUUGGAAUUCAACGGAAAAUUAUCCGUCAAAUAGCAAUAAAGCAAAACUAAAUCAUAUCAAACGAAUGUAAAUUACAAGUUAGAGUUUGACAGUUAUCCCAUUACCAGUGACUGAAAAUGUAAAUGGUUUACUCUUUUUAUUAAUGCUAAAGACAUUACCUUUUUCAAAUAGUCCCUUGAUAAAUAAAAGCAACAGUAGUAUACCGGUGUUCAAAGGUAAUAAAUCGUAUGAGAGAAAACAAAUCCGGUUACAAACAGGUUUGGCAUUCAAAGGUUUGUUGCAAACGUUCAAGAUUAAGGUUUAUCUAGAAAAGUCUAACCAUUACAAUGUGUAAAAUGUUACUUUAAUAAUAUCUGAAACCAGAAUCUAGAACAUAACAUAGUCUUGAAUACAAAUAAUUUAUUCGAGAACAACAUAAGAUUUUUUUUUUAAAUAUAUUUUGCCUGAAUUUCAUAAUGUUCUAGAACCUCUGAAAAGAAAUAUCGUUGGUUCUAAAACCAUUAAUAGCAUUUAAAACAAAAACUACGAAUUGUUUGCUAACUCAGGAACUUUUUAUAUAAAAGAGGGACGAAAGAUACCAAAGGGACAGUCAAAGUAUAUUAUACAAGUUAUAGGGUGGAUGAAAAUAGAAAUGGUAUUCAGUAUGUAAAGGAUGCAUUUCUUUAUGAUACAAAAAUGAUAACAGGAAUCAUCGAGAAAAUACAGGACAGGACAACAGUCAAAAUUAACCAACAAAACAUGUUGUCUUUUUGCAGCCCAAAAGCAAAUUAUUAAAGAAUAGAUGUUCCAACUGUCUCAUGCCUAGUUAAAUAAAUUUAGCUUUUCUUGUUGGUCCCGUUUGGUCAUAAAGCGCCUAUAUUUGCUGUACAUUUAAUGCAUUUCUGUCUUUCAAGUGUUUUAAUUUGAGCGUGACAGGUGAAGGUUUAUCUACAGACUCGCUGUCGGUCGCACAAAGUUUAUUUUGAAUUAUUUUCAUUCCGGUCGAACAAUAAAGUAUAACUUCAAAUUAACACUUAUUGUAUUUAAAGGCCUGAUUUAAAUCUUUUCUGUUUAUUGAUUGUUAUUUCAAAUCAAUUUUAGUGCGACAAAAUAUUUUGAAGUAAACACUUAAUCAUAUGUAAAUGAAUUUAUGGAAAAUCAAAUUUACGGAAAACUCAAAAUAAAUAGUCUAUUGUGAAGAAAUUGUUAACACUGCAAAUAUUCAUGGUCAUUUACGUCAUAUUUCUUAUGAAAUAUUUGUUUAAAUGCGGAAUGUAUCGUGCAUAUUAUAUUACACUUCAACACAAAGUUAUAAUUCAAGUAGAAAUAUUCUCAUUGUAUAUGUUUACAAUGCAGACGAAUAAUUUGCAGAUGAUUAAGAUUGAAAACCAAUUGAUAAGAAAAAUGUUGAAGAAUUUAAGCCUUAACAAUAAUAGUUGAAGUUUAAAUGAACUCAAAUAGGUGUAUAAUUAUAUGAAUAGAUUGAUAUCUCGCGUACGUCAUGAUAUUUUUGAUUAUUUUUAUAAAUACACACGUUUCAUGCAACUUGCAAUAAACGUAUGACAGACGAAAAAAGGCUUUACUAUUGAUUCUAUAAAAAAUAUUUAAGAUUAUCUUAUAAAAGGAUAUUUAUAUUUAGUAUACGCAAUUUUUAAUAUGUUUUCGAGAAGUUAAAUCUUUUAACGUCAAGAAUAAAAGUGAAUUUUUAUAGAAUGUAUUUAUAUUUUUUUAAACGUAUACGUACGUGAAAAACUUAUAUAAGCGUUGUACAAAUCAUGAAUUAAAAAUGUGUUUAAGAUAAAAAGAUUUUAAGAAAAUACCAGAUACGCAAUGUGUUCAUUGGUAUGCAUUUUCAAUUGUAUAUUGUUUGUGUUUUGAAAGACACAAAAACUAACAUAUUUAGCAUUUAUUUUCGAUUUGUAAUCCCUUGAGGCCCGCGUAGUAAUAUCAAAAUCAUACAUGACGCUGAAGACGGGCUCGCAAAAAAGAAUCUCGAAUGGUCAACAAUAAUAAAUCGCUAAAGGUGAAUAAUUAUCUAUUUUAACAUAACAGCUAAUUUUAACAGUAAAAACAAAUAACAAAACAUUGUCAAAUUUGAAACAGAAGUGUACGAGUUGUCCUACGCUUCAGACUUGACAUUCACUAAACAUGCAUGCUGAAAUUGAUCUGGUUGAUUUCGUAUCACAAUCAUACACAUUCACGUUUUGAAAUCGACAAUUGUCAUCGUCAUUGGAAUGCAACUGGAAUACACAUUCUGAGGUCACACAGGUUCAAACAAUAUUCAGUCCGGCAGUGGGCGGAGUUUUAAAGCGAUAUCUGUAUAGUAUACAGAUACAGCAUAGCGAUAUCUGUAGGGCUGUAUCUGUAUAGUAGGACACCCAAUUGCAGGAUA
rnacentral:lncRNA from 1 species